ACUGCUUCUCAGCCUUUUGACUAAGAUCCAGUGCAGUCUGUUCUUAUCAGUUUAAUGUCUGAUACAUCCUCGAUCUGAGGACAAUAUAUUAGAUGGAUUUUUGGAGCAGGGAGUUGGAAUAGGAGCUUGCUCUGUCCACUCCACACAUCCAUCGACCUGACAUUCCAGUACCUCUAGGGAAUUCUAGUA